AAUGGGGGCAACCCUGAUCCAGCCAUGCCGCGUGAGUGAAGAAGGCCUUCGGGUUGUAAAGCUCUUUCGGCCGGGACGAAAUCGCAUGGGCUAAUACCCUGUGCGGAUGACGGUACCGGAAUAAGAAGCACCGGCUAACUACGUGCCAGCAGCCGCGGUAAUACGUAGGGUGCGAGCGUUAAUCGGAAUUACUGGGCGUAAAGCGUGCGCAGGCGGUUUUUUAAGAUAGGCGUGAAAUCCCCGGGCUUAACCUGGGAACUGCGCUUAUGACUGGAAGACUAGAGUACGGCAGAGGGGGGUGGAAUUCCACGUGUAGCAGUGAAAUGCGUAGAGAUGUGGAGGAACACCAAUGGCGAAGGCAGCCCCCUGGGCCGAUACUGACGCUCAUGCACGAAAGCGUGGGGAGCAAA
rnacentral:rRNA from 1 species